GACCAGGAAACAGUCAAAACCAAAACAGGAUACUGCGAGUCUUCCAGGAAAACAGUUAUCAUUUGGCUACAGAGGGGCAUGAAAGGUGACGUCCGACCUUCAACUCACAGCGAACGUAUUUUGGACCAAUCCCUGACCAGGAGAGAUAUGGCAGGUUCCUUGCCAGUAUGAUGAAAAGUCUCUGUUGUGGUGCCAUAUGAUAUGAGCUGUGACCACAAAUCAGAGUUGUGGAGUAUUGUAUUUCAUGAAGCACACCGGUCAUGUGAAACCUGUUUGGAUGUAUUAGCAGAUCUGAGAAAGAGAAAGCCAGAAAUAUUAACGUUAUUAAAUGAUCCAAAGGCUUCAUGACAGGACCUCACCUGUGCCAGAAAUAUGCAAAAUCCUCUAAAUUCUUCCAUUAUGUGAGAGAGGAAAAGUAAAACUUUCAAACCUGCAGAGAU